rnacentral:rRNA from 1 species
UACAGAGGUCCCAAGCGUUGUUCGGAUUCACUGGGCGUAAAGGGUGCGUAGGUGGUCGGGUAAGUUUGAUGUGAAAGCUCCGAGCUUAACUCGGAAAUGGCAUUGAAUACUAUUCGGCUAGAGGGUUGGAGGGGAGUCUGGAAUUCCUGGUGUAGCGGUGAAAUGCGCAGAUAUCAGGAGGAACACCGGUGGCGAAGGCGGGACUCUGGGCCGAUACUGACGCUGAGGAGCGAAAGCGUGGGGAGCAAACAGG